UACGAAGGGGGCUAGCGUUGCUCGGAAUCACUGGGCGUAAAGCGCACGUAGGCGGACUCUUAAGUCGGUGGUGAAAUCCUGGAGCUCAACUCCAGAACUGCCUUCGAUACUGAGAGUCUCGAGUCCGGGAGAGGUGAGUGGAACUGCGAGUGUAGAGGUGAAAUUCGUAGAUAUCAGGAGGAACACCGGUGGUGUAGACGGCUCACUGGACCAUAACUGACGCUGAGACACGAAAGCGUGGGUAGCAAACAGG
rnacentral:rRNA from 1 species